rnacentral:rRNA from 1 species
GUGGGGAAUAUUGGGCAAUGGGCGCAAGCCUGACCCAGCAACGCCGCGUGAAGGAAGAAGGCUUUCGGGUUGUAAACUUCUUUUAUGUGGGACGAAAAAAAUGACGGUACCACAUGAAUAAGCCACGGCUAACUACGUGCCAGCAGCCGCGGUAAUACGUAGGUGGCAAGCGUUGUCCGGAUUUACUGGGUGUAAAGGGCGCGUAGGCGGGAGGACAAGUCAGAUGUGAAAUACCCGGGCUCAACCCGGGAACUGCAUUUGAAACUGUUCUUCUUGAGUGAUGGAGAGGCAAGUGGAAUUCCUAGUGUAGCGGUGAAAUGCGUAGAUAUCUGGAGGAACAUCAGUGGCGAAGGCGACACCCUGGACCGAUACUGACACUGAGGUGCGAAAGCGUGGGUAGCGAACAGGAUUAGAAACCCGGGUAGUCC